rnacentral:rRNA from 1 species
UACGAAGGGGGCGAGCGUUGUUCGGAAUUACUGGGCGUAAAGGGCGCGUAGGCGGCAAUUCAAGUCAGCUGUGAAAUCUCCGGGCUUAACUCGGAACGGUCAGCUGAUACUGCUUUGCUAGAGUGCAGAAGGGGCAAUCGGAAUUCUUGGUGUAGCGGUGAAAUGCGUAGAUAUCAAGAGGAACACCUGAGGUGAAGACGGGUUGCUGGGCUGACACUGACGCUGAGGCGCGAAAGCUAGGGGAGCAAACGGG